CAGCCGCCGCGGGAAUACGUAGGUGGCAAGCGUUGUCCGGAAUUAUUGGGCGUAAAGGGCUCGCAGGCGGUUUCUCAAGUCUGAUGUGAAAGCCCCCGGCUCAACCGGGGAGGGUCAUUGGAAACUGGGAAACUUGAGUGCAGAAGAGGAGAGUGGAAUUCCACGUGUAGCGGUGAAAUGCGUAGAGAUGUGGAGGAACACCAGUGGCGAAGGCGACUCUCUGGUCUGUAACUGACGCUGAGGAGCGAAAGCGUGGGGAGCGAACAGGAUUAGAUACCCCAGUAGUCCCUGUCUCUUAUAC
rnacentral:rRNA from 1 species